AAUCAUACACAGUGUAAUCAAUCUGCUCCCAGAAGCUAAGCUGAGUUAGUUCAGGGUAGUAUUUGGAUGUGAGAAAUAUCAAGAGUUUGAUUGUGUGAUUC
ensembl:rRNA 5S_rRNA 5S ribosomal RNA